UUUUUCUGGUAGUGAAGAAAUGAGAGGAAGUGGAAGGAUAUAAGGUAGCUUCUGCAGAAUCCAAUAUACUUGGAGUCCACAUCCAAGAUCAAAGCAUCUAGCUCUGUUCACUCAGGUUCUCAGGAGUAUCUCACAAAUGAGUCAUCAUAGAGAAGAAGACAAUUCCACAAAAGCAAAGCCAGUGCAUUGGUAGGGAGCUAAAUUAGCAGGCAUGCUACCUAUACUAAAU
rnacentral:rRNA from 1 species